rnacentral:rRNA from 1 species
GUGGGGAAUAUUGGGCAAUGGGCGCAAGCCUGACCCAGCAACGCCGCGUGAAGGAAGAAGGCUUUCGGGUUGUAAACUUCUUUUACCAGGGACGAAACAAAUGACGGUACCUGGUGAAUAAGCCACGGCUAACUACGUGCCAGCAGCCGCGGUAAUACGUAGGUGGUGAGCGUUAUCCGGAUUUAUUGGGUGUAAAGGGCGUGUAGGCGGGACAGCAAGUCAGAUGUGAAAACCAGAGGCUCAACCUCUGGCCUGCAUUUGAAACUGUUGUUCUUGAGUGUCGGAGAGGUAAUCGGAAUUCCGUGUGUAGCGGUGAAAUGCGUAGAUAUACGGAGGAACACCAGUGGCGAAGGCGGAUUACUGGACGAUAACUGACGCUGAGGCGCGAAAGCGUGGGGAGCAAACAGGAUUAGAUACCCGGGUAGCC